GGGGAAUAUUGCACAAUGGGCGAAAGCCUGAUGCAGCGACGCCGCGUGAGGGAUGACGGCCUUCGGGUUGUAAACCUCUUUCAGCAGGGAAGAAGCGAAAGUGACGGUACCUGCAGAAGAAGCGCCGGCUAACUACGUGCCAGCAGCCGCGGUAAUACGUAGGGCGCAAGCGUUGUCCGGAAUUAUUGGGCGUAAAGAGCUUGUAGGCGGUCCGUUGCGUCGGAAGUGAAAACUCGGGGCUUAACCCCGAGCCUGCUUUCGAUACGGGCGGACUUGAGGGAUGUAGGGGAGAACGGAAUUCCUGGUGGAGCGGUGGAAUGCGCAGAUAUCAGGAGGAACACCAGUGGCGAAGGCGGUUCUCUGGACAUUUCCUGACGCUGAGAAGCGAAAGCGUGGGGAGCAAACA
rnacentral:rRNA from 1 species